AAGACCUUGUGCUUUUGGAGCGGCCGAUGCCUGAUUAGCUAGUUAGUGGGGUAAAGGCCUACCAAGGCGACGAUCAGUAGUUGGUCUGAGAGGACGACCAGCCACACUGGGACUGAGACACGGCCCAGACUCCUACGGGAGGCAGCAGUGGGGAAUUUUGGACAAUGGGCGAAAGCCUGAUCCAGCAAUGCCGCGUGAGUGAAGAAGGCCUUCGGGUUGUAAAGCUCUUUCAGUCGAGAAGAAAAGGUUGUGACUAAUAAUCACAACUUAUGACGGUAUCGACAGAAGAAGCACCGGCUAACUACGUGCCAGCAGCCGCGGUAAUACGUAGGGUGCAAGCGUUAAUCGGAAUUACUGGGCGUAAAGGGUGCGCAGGCGGCUCUGUAAGUCAGAUGUGAAAUCCCCGGGCUUAACCUGGGAAUU
rnacentral:rRNA from 1 species